AGGGCCUCCAAGGUGAUGUCCACCCUGCACUCCCCCAGAGAGUGAAGCUGGCCACUCGAAGGCUCAAUGUCGAAGGGAGACACCUGCCCCGGAGAACACUCAGGAGGAUGAGCACUGAGGACACUUGGAAUUGCAGAGGAACUGGGGGCUGGCCAUGCCUAACCAAAGUCACUCCUAAGCUGCCCCAGCUCUUCCAAGAGCCAUCUGGGAUCCAGAAACAGUGGGAGAACACCACAGACUGAAAACUAGACAAGAGGGAUCAGAUGUGAUGCCGCUACCCAUCAGCCGUAUGACCUUGGGGAAGCCCUGCCCCUUCCAGUCUCUCCUCUAUCAAAUGAGGAGGCUGGCUGAGGUCUGUAAGCUUCUAACUGUGCUCUGGAAAAUCCCAGGAAAUCCCUA
rnacentral:lncRNA from 10 species